GUGGGGGAUAUUGCACAAUGGGGGAAACCCUGAUGCAGCGACGCCGCGUGAAGGAAGACGUACUUCGGUAUGUAAACUUCUAUCAGCAGGGAAGAAGAUGACGGUACCUGACUAAGAAGCCCCGGCUAACUACGUGCCAGCAGCCGCGGUAAUACGUAGGGGGCAAGCGUUAUCCGGAUUUACUGGGUGUAAAGGGAGCGUAGACGGUGAAGCAAGUCUGAUGUGAAAACCCGGGGCUCAACUCCGGGAUUGCAUUGGAAACUGUUUUACUUGAGUGCGGGAGGGGCAAGCGGAAUUCCUGGGGUAGCGGUGAAAUGCGUAGAUAUCAGGAAGAACACCGGUGGCGAAGGCGGCUUGCUGGACAGUAACUGACGUUGAGGCUCGAAAGCGUGGGGAGCAAACAGGAUUAGAUACCCCGGUAGUCC
rnacentral:rRNA from 1 species